UCUACAUUAAUUUUUAAUUUUAUAUUGCAUAAUAAAAAAUAAAUAUCUGUAGAGGUGAAAUACCACACGAAUUAUAUAAUAUCUGGUUUUUUCAAAAAGUAUUAGUACUUAAAUUUUUUGAAGGUUAAGCUUUAAAAAUAAAUUCUUCCACAAUUUCUUAUAUAUUAAAGAUUAAUAGUGUCUAAAAGUGUAACAACUAAUUUCACGACCUUAAUUUAAUACUAAUAUGAAAAUUAAAUUCAAUUUUAAAAAUGAUUUUAUUAGUAAAUAAUUUAUUUUUAUACUUUAAUUAAAAAUUUCUACAACUAUAAAUUUAUCUUUAUCUUAUGAACUAGGCCCUUAUUUAUUGACUGUUUAUCAAAAACAUUUCUAAAUGUAAUUAUAUUUAGUAAGACCUGCUCAAUGAUAAUUAAAUUGCGGCAAUUUAAAUGUCCUAAGGUAGCAUAAUCAUUUGCCUUUUAAUUAAAGGCUAGAAUGAAUGGUUUAACAUAUAAAUAUCUUUAUUAUUCAAAUAUAUUAAAAUUUUCCUAAAAGUAAAAAGACUUUUAUAAAAUAGGAGGACGACAAGACCCUAUUGAGCUUCACUUUAGUUGAACUGGGGCGGUAAAAAAUAAAAUCUUUAUAAAUUUAUCUAAAAACUUUAAAUAAAAUUAACAAGUUACCAUAGGGAUAACAGCAUAAUUUUUUCCUAAAGUCCUUAUAAAAGAAAAAGAUUAUGACCUCGAUGUUGAAUUAAUUUAUC
rnacentral:rRNA from 1 species